rnacentral:rRNA from 1 species
UGGGGAAUAUUGCGCAAUGGAGGAAACUCUGACGCAGCAACGCCGCGUGAAGGAUGAAGGUCUUCGGAUUGUAAACUUCUUUGAUGAGGGACGAAGGAAGUGACGGUACCUCAAAAACAAGCCACGGCUAACUACGUG